UACGUAGGUGGCAAGCGUUGUCCGGAUUUACUGGGCGUAAAGAGCGCGCAGGCGGUCGAUUUAGUCGUGUGUGAAAGCCCCCGGCUCAACUGGGGAGGGUCACGCGAUACUGAUCGACUCGAAGGCAGGAGAGGGAUGCAGAAUUCCAGGUGUAGCGGUGAAAUGCGUAGAUAUCUGGAGGAAUACCGGUGGCGAAGGCGGCAUCCUGGACCGGCAUUGACGCUGAACAGCGAAAGCUAGGGGAGCAAACGGG
rnacentral:rRNA from 1 species